rnacentral:rRNA from 1 species
AAUAAAUAUUAAUAAAAAAAUUUUUAAAUUUAUUAAGUAUUUUAAUGGGGGUUAAAGUAUUUUAAUAGAAAAAAUUUAAAUUUUUAUAGUUAACUAGUAUUGUGAGAGAAAUUUGAAAUAAUUAUAAAAUAUAAAUUUAUUAAAAAGUAAUUUUUAUUUAGUGUAUCUUGUGUAUCAGAGUUUAUUAAAAAUUUAUUUUGGUUAAAAUUUUCUCGAAUUUAAAAGAGCGAAUUAAAUAUAAAAGUUAUUGUAGUAAAAAUAUUUUUAAUAUUUAAUUUGAAAUGAAAUGUUAUUCGUUUUUAAAUAUAUCUAGUUUUUUUAGAAAAAAAUUUAAUUUUAAAUUGAUUUUUAAACAUUUAUAUUUUAUUAAUAAAUUUUUAAGAUUAAUUUUAUAUUUUAAGGGAUAAGCUUUAAAUUAAAUUAAUAUAAUAUUUAAUUUAAUAUUGAAAAUUGUAUAAUUUAUAUUGUUAAAAAAUUUUAUUUUAUUAUAAAUAAUUUCAAUUAAUAUAAAAUUUAAUUAAAAUUUAUUAUUUUAUAAGAAAAAUAUAUUUAAUAAUAUAAUUUAAGUUAUAAUGAUAAAAUUAGUAUAAAUUUUUAUUAAUAUUAUUAAAUUUAAUUUAAGGUAUUUUAAAGGAAUUCGGCAAAAUUUUAUAUUCNCUUGUUUAUCAAAAACAUGUCUUUUUGAAAAUAAUUUAAAGUCUAAUCUGCCCACUGAUUAAUAAUUAAAGGGCUGCAGUAUUUUGACUGUACAAAGGUAGCAUAAUCAUUAGUCAUUUAAUUGAUGACUUGUAUGAAAGAUUGGAUGAAAUAUGAACUGUCUUUAAAUUAAAUAUAGAAUUUAAUUUUUAAGUUAAAAAGCUUAAAUAAUUUAAAAAGACGAGAAGACCCUAUAGAGUUUUAUUAUUUAUUUAAAUUAAUAUUUUUAUAAUUAGUUAUAUUUAUGUUAAUUUUUAAUAAAUAAUUUUAUUGGGGUGAUAAAAAAAUUUAAUUAACUUUUUUUAAUUUAAAAACAUAAAUAAGUGAAUAUUUGAUCCAUAUUUUAUGAUUAUAAGAAAAAAUUACCUUAGGGAUAACAGCGUAAUUUUAUUUUUUAGUUCAAAUAAGAAAUAGAGUUUGCGACCUCGAUGUUGGAUUAAGAUAAAAUUUAAAUGCAGAAGUUUAAAAGUUUUGAUCUGUUCGAUCAUUAAAAUCUUACAUGAUCUGAGUUCAAACCGGUGUAAGCCAGGUUGGUUUCUAUCUUUUAAAAAUAAAAAUAUUUUAGUACGAAAGGAUUAAAUAUUUAAAUUAUAUUUUUUAAUUUGAAUUUUAUUAAAUAUAUAUAUAUAUAUAUAUAUAUAUACAUAAAAAAAAAUUAUUAUGGAUUU